rfam:Spiroplasma eriocheiris strain DSM 21848, complete genome.
GCCUAGUUAGCUCAGUUGGUAGAGCAUUCGGCUGUUAACCGACAGGUCGCAGGUUCGAGCCCUGCACUAGGCG